rnacentral:lncRNA from 1 species
UCCUUUAGGCCCCGUUUGGUAUGAAGGAAUUGGAAUCUAUUUAAUGGAGUAGGCUAAUUUAUGUUGGAAUGUGGCAUUCCACAACUUUCCAAAGUUUAUAUAUAAGCCUAUCUUAAAUUCAUGGGGUGGGAGAUGGAAAUUGAUUCUAUAGAUUAUGGUUAUUAGAAUGGAAUUCAAUUCUUAUAGCACGCUCUUAGACUCGCUUCUCUAUAGUAGAAGUGCAGCAUAUAAGUAUCUCUCCCAUAUCACCAACUAUAAUAUACAACUAUAUUCCACAUACAAUUAUAUUAGCUUAAUUAAUUUGUGUCUAAAUUAUGAUUAUUAUGAUGGAAUUCAAUUCCAAUGAUCCAAACGGGGCCUUAACAAAUUUGUCAAUUUACACUUGUAUUCUGGGUCUAAACUUGCACUAAUAUAAGUCGGCCUUGGUUUGGUACCAUCGCCUAAGUCUAUCAUCUCUAAUGAAUCGGCCGACGUGAACCCGUGCCCUAGCUUCCCAUCUUCUCGGGCGAACUGAUCCAUCUACUCUGAGUCUUCGGAGCCGACUGCUCGGAUCGGCUGUAGGCCAAAAUCGGUGACCUUCAGGAAAUCGGUCU